rnacentral:lncRNA from 1 species
GUCACUCUCUUAAUCAGUUACAAAAGUGCUGGGUUUAUACAUUAAUAAUUCUUCAGUUGAUGGAAGGACUUUGCUGUCAGAACACAUUCUUUCAGCUCUCACUGAACUGCUGGACCGGUCCUCAGUUGGCUGGAUGUCUCUAUUUUGGUAGAAAGUUAUUUUUUUCAAUAACUAUCCUAUACUAAUAAAUGUGAAUAAUAUGCUUUAUUAUUCCUGUGGCAAGGCUGCAGUGGCCCACAUGGGUGGUUGGCGAAAUGAAUGUCAUACUGCAGACCUGGUCAGGAAGGCUGCUGCUCCUGAGACAAGGAAGGUGCUGCCUGGUGGGGAAGUAACCGAAGUCAGAUGCUUGCUCCAGGUUUCAAAAUGCCUUUGGAGUCAUUGAUGCAUUUGAUCAUCACCCCAAAAUUACAGUGGCUAAGAUCAGGUGUUCAAGUCUCAGCUUUUCUCAUACUCUGUAGAAAUACUUCUAAGGUAUGUGUAUACCUUUAAUUCAUACACUUCACUGACUAUAUAGUAUUACAUGAUAUAAAUGUACCCCAAGUUAUUUAAGUCCCCCGUUAAGGGGCAGUUAAUGAGUUUCCUAUUUUCCUCCACUCUAAACAAUGCUACAACAAAUACCCUAUCUUUGCAUGCUAUUACUUUUUUUUUUUUUGCCCUAUCAAAGGGUACAUGGCUUAUCAGCUCUUAAUACCAUUUCACCUUCUUCCAUAGCAAUAUAGCCCUUAACUAUCAAGUGAGCAUAUUUAUUUCUUGUAGCUAAAAGUGGCUAUGUGACUUAUAAGCACAAUUUCUAGAAAACAAACUUUUAAACACUUUUGGUCAUGGCCAUAGCAUGUAGAGGUUCCCUAGGCCAGGGAUCAAAUGCACAGAACAACAGUGACCAUAGCCACUGCAGUGAAUGCUGGAUCCAUAACCCCCUGCACAAUCAGGGAACUCCAAAAAAUCCUUAAAUGGAAGCAAUUAAUGGCAUCCUUAAAUGCCUUUCUUUCAUACACUAACUGAAGUGUAAAUGUGAU